CACGUAGGGUGCGAGCGUUGUCCGGAAUUAUUGGGCGUAAAGAGCUCGUAGGCGGUGUGUCGCGUCGGCCGUGAAAACCUGCAGCUUAACUGUGGGCGUGCGGUCGAUACGGGCAUCACUGGAGUUCGGCAGGGGAGACUGGAAUUCCUGGUGUAGCGGUGAAAUGCGCAGAUAUCAGGAGGAACAUCCGUGGCGAAAGCGGCUCUCUGGGACGGUACUGACGCUGAGACGCGAAAGCGUGGGGAGCAAACAGG
rnacentral:rRNA from 1 species